AUCCUGGCUCAGGAUGAACGCUAGCUACAGGCUUAACACAUGCAAGUCGAGGGGAAACGAUAGAGAAAGCUUGCUUUUUCUAGGCGUCGACCGGCGCACGGGUGAGUAACGCGUAUCCAACCUGCCCAUCACUUGGGGAUAACCUUGCGAAAGUAAGACUAAUACCCAAUGAUAUCUCUAGAAGACAUCUGAAAGAGAUUAAAGAUUUAUCGGUGAUGGAUGGGGAUGCGUCUGAUUAGCUUGUUGGCGGGGUAACGGCCCACCAAGGCGACGAUCAGUAGGGGUUCUGAGAGGAAGGUCCCCCACAUUGGAACUGAGACACGGUCCAAACUCCUACGGGAGGCAGCAGUGAGGAAUAUUGGUCAAUGGACGAGAGUCUGAACCAGCCAAGUAGCGUGCAGGAUGACGGCCCUAUGGGUUGUAAACUGCUUUUAUAAGGGAAUAAAGUGAGUCUCGUGAGACUUUUUGCAUGUACCUUAUGAAUAAGGACCGGCUAAUUCCGUG
rnacentral:rRNA from 1 species